rnacentral:lncRNA from 1 species
GUUUUACUAUCCUCAACCCUUUUUCAAAAAAAAUACUGAUUACGGCUGCAGAAAAUGAUCUUUUCCCACAGCAGUCGUGUGUAUACUGAUCUUUAACAAUUUGUACUCAUAACCAGAUUUGUUUGGACAAGUCACAGCACUGUGUGUGUCCUGUUUUUGUUUUGUUUUAAAUUUUAUGAUGUCGGCAUAGUUGUUGGAAAAUCCUCCUUCGUACCUGCAG